GUAUUAUAGUUUAUAGGCAUUUUAGGCCCAUUGAUAUCGUUCAAAAACAUACAAAGGUGUAUAUGAAUAAAUCGUAGAGCCUGUUGGAGAGACAAGCCAGAGACAGGAAGGCCACCAAAAGUAGCAAGUUCCCAGUAGCUGAAAAAUCAGCUAGGCUUAUUUGCCUACCAAAGACCUACACAGGGUGCACAUGGUGGAAAGAUAAAGAUGAUAGGCGUGCACAUACUCUCGAUUGAGAGCCAGCAACAACCCACCAAGUUUACUCUGUAAUGAUCCUUCCGCAGGUUCACCUACGGAAA
rnacentral:misc_RNA from 1 species